ACAUCCAACAAAGUGUAAACAAUUUUCCAAGCAAUAUAAAGCUUUCUUCCAAAUCUUUCUAAGUUUUUCUUUGCAUUCUCUUAGUGAUCUUAGUUUCAAAGGGCUUACUUGAACUUACAAGAUCGUGAAAGAUUAGUGAGUAAGUUAUCAAGUGCCGCACGGAACUUUAGUGAGAUUCUAAGUCCGUGACACCAGUACAAUCACUUUUCUAUUCUCUAGGGUUUCUCAAUUGAGCUUGCUCUCCAAAUAUAUCGCUCAUGUCGCCGCGUGGGACUUUCACCAAUUUGACCUUCCUUUUCCUGUUGCAUUGGAUUAUCAAUCCUUUUGUCUUGCUGUUCUCUGAUCCUCUUCUCAGCUCACAAGGGUAAGCUUUAAUUGUUUCUUCCUCCUGUCCUUUUUCUGUCUCCCUUCUAACUUUUAUUCUACUGCCUACGAGUGUUCUGGUGGAUGUUUUGAAUUUCCAAGGAGAUUUUCGUAGAGGUGCCAAGUUAAUGAGUUGCGAACCCAACUCUAACUGAAGUGUUUGUGUAGAUUUCAAGAUGCUCCCGUUCUCCUUUCAAACAAAAGGAGAUCGAUUAGGGUAUCGCAGUUGAGCGGACAGGCGACGGGAGAAAAUUGAAGGAGUUCCUUCCCAGCCAAAGUUUCUCAAGUCUCCAUCUGACUUUCAAUUAAGCUUUUGUCUUUUGCGGGUGCAAUUUUUUCGUUUUCUUCCCUCAAUAAUAUUAAGACUAAAAAUUCAUGCACGUAAAAUUCAAAGAAUAUUCAUCAUCAUCAUAGUGAAACUACAUGUAUUCAAAAAGUGUCAAUUGAUACCACUUCACUGAAAAGGUAUACUAUAUAGAUAGGUAAUUUUUAUUUAUUUAUAUACAAUUAUUUAUUUAAUCCCUAAACCUACUCGUAUAUUUAUCUUUUUUAUUUAUUUAACACCCCUUAAAAAAUUUAGUUCCACCAUUUUAAUCAAAGUGUAAUCUUAAGUUGAUACUCGGAACAAAAAAAAAAUAGGCAAGUAAACCUCACCCCGCAUAAAUCAUUUGCAAUAGUCAUUUCCAUUUUUAACUUGUAGAAAAAAAUCAGAGAAAAAAAAAUUUACAAUUUUUUUUUGACAAAACAAGAUUUUGAAAAAAAAAUACUCACUUUCUAAAAGUAUUUUGUUUUCUUGUUCUAAAGGGAUCAAAACACUCUUUGAUUGUCCAUUUUCAAAAAUCAAUGGAAGAUUCAAUGAUGAAUGAAACAGAAGCGUUGGUGGUUUCACUACUUGGUGAAAUCUCACAGCUAAGAAAAGUCAAUUUCUUGAAUUUGAUUAUUUCGUCAAUUGAAAUUCCAAAAUUGAAGCAUCCUUCAAUUAUAUUCCUCUUCCAUUUGAAUCUGACUAAACAUUUGAAAGUCUUCUUUGAUGGUUGUAAUGAAUGGGGCAUCAUCAAAACAAAUGGAAGAAAUUGAUUGAAAUGGUGGAGUAUGUCCAUCACCAUGUAUGAAAACUUGUUGAAAUUUGUGAAUCAAUCAUGAUUUAAACUUAUAGAGUCCACAAAGAUAAAUAUUUGAUUUUUGGGUUGGUAGAAAGGUGUGGAUUCUAUAAACUGAACUCAUGAUUGAUUCACAAAUUCUAGCAACUUUCCAUACAGGGUGAUGGAAUGACUCCAUCGUUUCAACUCAUGUCUUCCAUUUGUUUUGUUGAUCCCUCCAUCCAUUACAUCCAUUAAAGAAGACUUUUAAUGUCCAGUUAGAUUCUAAUGGAAAAGAAAUUUAAGGAUGCUUUUAUUUUGGACCUUCAAUCGAUGAAAUUAUCAAGUUCAACAAAGGGCUUUUCUUAGUUGUGGGAUUCCACCAAGUGGUGAAAUCAUCAACACUUCUCUUACAUCCACCAUUAGAUUUUUCAUCGAUUCUUGAAAAUGGACAAUCAAAAAGUGAAUUUUGAUUCUUUUAGGACAAAAAAAAAAGCACUUCUAGAGAGUGAGUGUGUUUUUUCAAAACCUAAUUAUGUCUAACUUUUAUGCAAAAGCUUUUUUCUCAUUUUCUACUUAAACAUAGAAAUGACGGUUGUAAAUGGUUUAUGCAAAGUGCGGUUUACUUGCCUAGAACUUGUUUAUCAUUUUAUGAGUAUCAACUUAAGCUACCUUGACUAAAAUAGAGGAACUAAUUUUCUAAGGAGUGUCAAAAAAAAAGAGAGAGUAAAUAUACAAGUAAAAUUUGGGAUUCCACCUACUCUUAGAAAGAACACUAUUUUUCUUUAGUUAGGUAGUUCUCCUGAUCGUAAGACCUUUUAUGAGUAAGUUUAUUCGAAGGCCAGGAAAUAUUUAUUGGCAAGAGGGAACCAUUUUGCACCCAGCCCUACCUACCCUAUGUAUUCGAGUGAGAGGUUGGAACAGAAAAAAACCAGGUUCCACACAUACGAAACAAACAGAAGGUAUGGGACAAACAAUUUCUUCAAGAGCGAAUUCGAUCCUAUAAUCGUCCAAAAAAAAGAUCCAGAGUGAUUCAUCACUUAUCCUAUCAAGGGACCAAUGGAACGCUCGAGUAUAGAUUUCCUAUGUUCAUGUAAACGCUCGAGGCCGGCCAGUCUGUAUAUCUUAAUUAAUCCAUAGGCUUGACCGGAUAUCAUUUGUCCACAAAUGAAACAAAACAAGGCUAUUUUUUUAGUAGUGUUCAUGAGACCUCGAAUUCUCACGUUCCAACGUGCAUUAUGCCAACAGGUCCCACCACCAACUCUACCUAAGAAGUUGAGUAAAAAAAAAAUUCCAGAACUCUCGAAUUCCACAAUUUCACAAUUUAGGCCUGAAAUCCUCAAAAAGAUUCUAAAUCUGAAACCGAGAACUCUCACUGAUCAGAUUUCAUAUUUUGGGACUGAUGAAAUCGACAAAAUUUCAUUCCGACAUUCGAAACUCCAAAAGACCCCAAAAAUCACUUUCUUAACAACUUAGUCUUUCAAACUCAAAGCUUACAAAAUUCUCAACUUUUAACUUAAAGUUCAAAGAACAACUUUUCAAACUCAAUCAAAGAAGACUCGGGUCAAUCAUGGGAGGGCAAAAUGGUAAAUUCAUGAAACUUUCCAAAAAUGACUGACCAGGUCAUUACAGAUCUAGCCAGAAAUUUCAAGUCACUAUUCAAAAAGUUUUCUUACCCAGUUCUAUGGAGCAUUAGAUUUGUAUAAAUCAUAGGCAGACAUCUCGUUUGUAUAAAAGCGCAGCGAUUAUAUAUGUAUAUCGGUUAGA